UGCGCAGGCGGGCUUGUAAGUCAGUGGUGAAAUUCUGCCGCUUAACGGUAGAACUGCCAUUGAUACUGCAAGUCUUGAACAUGGUUGAGGUAGGCGGAAUGUGUUGUGUAGCGGUGAAAUGCAUAGAUAUGACACAGAACGCCAAUUGCGAAGGCAGCUUACUAAGUCAUUAUUGACGCUGAGGCACGAAAGCGUGGGGAGCGAACAGGAUUAGAUACCCUGGUAGUCC
rnacentral:rRNA from 1 species